rnacentral:lncRNA from 1 species
GAUUUAGAAUACAGGAGCACAAGGAUCAAGCAGAUCUGGCCAAGCUGGAAAAYAGAAGAGAAGGGGAACGAAUACAGCAAUUGAGCCAAUUGUACCAACUGGAAACUCAGAGAGAAAAAGAAAAGGAACAGGAGAAAAAARCUGAAUUCCAGAGGCAGCAUCAUGAAUAUGUAGCUGAACAAAAAGUAUUUAAAGCUGAAGAGAAACAAAAAGAAGACAAAGAUGAUGAUCGGAUUAAGGCUUAUAUUAAAGGAAAAGAAAUGAUGGCUGAUCUGACAAGAGAAAAAUAUGCAGAGAGUAACAGGAUGAUACAGAAGCAUAAGGACAAGGCUUUUGAUCAAUUAACUGCACAGAUCAAUGAGAAAUUUAAGAUUGAAGAUGAUCGUCUUGYUAGAGGAGCUGCAGAGGUAGAAGUUGAGUACCAAAUGCAAAACAAAGAGAAAGAAAUGAGAAAAAAGGCUGCUAUUGAAUCUAUUGAAGAAAACAGAGUCACUGUGAUGAAGUUGAAAGAGGAAAAGGAGAGACAGGAGAAAGAAGAGGGUGAGAAGGAUCGUAAUCAGUGGAUGACAGARAAUGACAUCUACUUGGAAAUGGAAAAAGCCAAGAAACAAAGACAGCGUGAUGCAAACAUGGAAGUACAGAAAAUUCAGCUCCAGCAAAUGGCUGAAAAGCAGGCAAGAAAAGAGCAGGAAAAGCAAGCAGACUUGGACUGCGAUGCUCAGAGAGAAGCUGCUUUUCCUUGGGAUYGAGCAUCUCGGAGAUAAAGACACAAGCAGAAAGAAUGGAAACUUUUAUAAAAGCCUUUUGAUGGCAGAAGCUGGAGCCCUAAGAAGUAUUGACUACAACAGGAGUGGUGCUGAAACCUGCAGAGCUCAGUAAUGCUCCAAAUGCAUCCSUAAGUGCAAAUCUGCACAUGCUCACUACCAUGCAAUUG